rnacentral:rRNA from 1 species
GACGUAGGGCGCGAGCGUUGUCCGGAUUUAUUGGGCGUAAAGAGCUCGUAGGCGGCUUGUCGCGUCGUCCGUGAAAACUUGUGGCUUAACCACAGGCUGGCGGUCGAUACGGGCAAGCUGGAGUUCGGUAGGGGAGACUGGAAUUCCUGGUGUAGCGGUGAAAUGCGCAGAUAUCAGGAGGAACACCGGUGGCGAAGGCGGGUCUCUGGGCCGAUACUGACACUGAGGAGCGAAAGCGUGGGGAGCGAACAGG